rnacentral:lncRNA from 1 species
CGAAAUCGUAGAGAAUGCGGACGAUUACUGAGAGGCCGCUGUUGUUUAUACCUGUUAGAUCACGCGCCGGCCUCGUCCCGCUCGUGCCUCCCCUCCUCCUCCGCCCGGACCGCUCUCGCCUGCGAAUGGAACAACAAGAAGUUACCAACGAUGAAGGCCCCAUGAAGAAAACCAUCAGAUCAGGCUUCUACCUCGCCGCGCGUGCAGACCCGCUCCUGCUGCCGCCGAUGAGAGAAGGGAAGGAGGAAGACCUAGGGUUUCCUGGAUUGAUGACGGGGGAGGAGAGCUAGGGGAGAGAGGGGGAUUGGUGACGGGCGAAAUUGAACUGAUCGUCUCGGGGUUGUGUGAAUGCG